GAUGAACGCUGGCGGCGUGCCUAAUACAUGCCAGUCGAGCGAACAGAUGAUGAGCUUGCUCCUCUGACGUUAGCGGCGGACGGGUGAGUAACACGUGGAUAACCUACCUAUAAGACUGGUAUAACUUCGGGAAACCGGAGCUAAUACCGUAUAAUAUAUUGAACCGCAUGGUUCAAUAGUGAAAGACGGUUUUGCUGGCACUUAUAGAUGGAUCCGCGCCGCAUUAGCUAGUUGGUAAGUUAACGGCUUACCAAGGCGACGAUGCGUAGCCGAACUGAGAGAGUGAUCGGCCACACUGGAGCUGAGACACGGUCAAGACUCCUACGGGACGCAGCAGUAGGGAAUGUGACGCAGUAGGCGAAAGCAUGACGGAGCAACGCCGCGUGAGUGAUGACGGUCUUCGGAUCGUAAAGCUGUGUUAUUAGGGAAGAACAAAUGUGUAAGGAACUAUGGCCGUCUUGACGGUACCUAAUAAGAAAGCAACGGCUAACUACGUG
rnacentral:rRNA from 1 species